CAGCAGCCACGGUAAUACAGAGGGUGCGAGCGUUAAUCGGAUUUACUGGGCGUAAAGCGUGCGUAGGCGGCUUCUUAAGUCGGAUGUGAAAUCCCUGAGCUUAACUUAGGAAUUGCAUUCGAUACUGGGAAGCUAGAGUAUGGGAGAGGAUGGUAGAAUUCCAGGUGUAGCGGUGAAAUGCGUAGAGAUCUGGAGGAAUACCGAUGGCGAAGGCAGCCAUCUGGCCUAAUACUGACGCUGAGGUACGAAAGCAUGGGGAGCAAACAGGAUUAGAUACCCCUGUAGUCCCUGUCUCUUAUCC
rnacentral:rRNA from 1 species